CCUACGGGAGGCAGCAGUGGGGAAUAUUGCGCAAUGGGCGAAAGCCUGACGCAGCGACGCCGCGUGAGGGAUGAAGGCUUUCGGGUUGUAAACUUCUUUUGUCAGGGAAGAGUAGAAGACGGUACCUGACGAAUAAGCCACGGCUAACUACGUGCCAGCAGCCGCGGUAAUACGUAGGUGGCAAGCGUUGUCCGGAUUUACUGGGUGUAAAGGGCGUGUAGCCGGGUUGACAAGUCAGAUGUGAAAUCCUGCGGCUUAACCGCAGAACUGCAUUUGAAACUGUUGAUCUUGAGUACUGGAGAGGCAGACGGAAUGCCUAGUGUAGCGGUGAAAUGCGUAGAUAUUAGGAGGAACACCAGUGGCGAAGGCGGUCUGCUGGACAGCAACUGACGGUGAGGCGCGAAAGCGUGGGGAGCAAACAGGAUUAGAUACCCGAGUAGUC
rnacentral:rRNA from 1 species